UGUGAGAGCUACUUGUGUCUGGAAGGAGGAGGACUUUCUUCCUCUUUGUCUCCCUCACGGCUAUGCACUUUCUGUCCUUGUUUUGUUUUUGUCCCUAAGAGUCAGUUUAGUCCACUCAUCCUGUAGAACAUUAACUUAGUCAUCCCUCACCCACUCCAGAAAGAAAAAAAUAAACAGUUCUCCACUGGGUUAGCAAUGUGAAUCAGCUUGGGAGGGACUCAACAAAGUGCCAAGGAACUGGAAACUAGUGGACAAAAGCAGGAAUGAGAGAAAGGAGGAGAAAGAAGGUGGGGUGACAGGCAGUUCGGAGUCUCACUAUGCUCUAAUACCUAUUUGAGAGUCCUGAUGAGUGCAGUAUGAUGAAUACAUGUGCUGAGCAAAAGAAGAGGGUCCAACUCUGAUUUUAGUUGUGUUUUAUUUCAGACAUUGCCACUGAAGCUCUCAGCCAGAGAUUUGCAUCUGUGGACAUGGUUGCUGGUAGCUGUGUGAGAGAAAAAUUGAGUCUUUCCCCAAGGUGAUAAUUUUGUGCAGCAGAUUGAAUCCCUGCCCUGCCCUGAACGGAAUCUACCUAUGUCUAUUGGGCUGAACUCCAGCAACUCACAGUUGAAAUCAAGAGUCACCUGUGCCCUGUCUGUGGUGUGGUUUAUCUUCCCAGCUGGACAGGAUAAGUCCUGGACCAUAUGGUUUUUCUUGAGAUUGUUCCACCUUGUCUCUGGACAAACCAUAUAUGAAGCCUUUUCUUCUGGCAGAACCAGAAAAUGCAGAAAGGUAUGAAAAUGCAAUGAGUUUGCAGAAAACUCCAAAGCAUUUCCAAUUGCAAGGCUGACUGACAAUAUCUGUAGAUUUCUAUUG
rnacentral:lncRNA from 1 species